rnacentral:rRNA from 1 species
GAUGAACGCUGGCGGCGUGCCUAAUACAUGCAAGUCGAGCGAACAGACGAGGAGCUUGCUCCUCUGACGUUAGCGGCGGACGGGUGAGUAACACGUGGAUAACCUACCUAUAAGACUGGGAUAACUUCGGGAAACCGGAGCUAAUACCGGAUAAUAUAUUGAACCGCAUGGUUCAAUAGUGAAAGACGGUUUUGCUGUCACUUAUAGCUGGAUCCGCGCCGCAUUAGCUAGUUGGUAAGGUAACGGCUUACCAAGGCAACGAUGCGUAGCCGACCUGAGAGGGUGAUCGGCCACACUGGAACUGAGACACGGUCCAGACUCCUACGGGAGGCAGCAGUAGGGAAUCUUCCGCAAUGGGCGAAAGCCUGACGGAGCAACGCCGCGUGAGUGAUGAAGGUCUUCGGAUCGUAAAACUCUGUUAUUAGGGAAGAACAAAUGUGUAAGUAACUAUGCACGUCUUGACGGUACCGAAUCAGAAAGCCACGGCUAACUACGUG